GGGUGCGAUCAUACCAGCACUAAUACACCAGAUCCCAUCAGAUUUCUGUAGUUAAGCGUGCUUGCUUGAGAGUAGUACUGGGAUGGGUGACCCCCUGGGAAGUCCUCGUGUUGCACCCC